rnacentral:rRNA from 1 species
AUUGAACGCUGGCGGCAGGCCUAACACAUGCAAGUCGAGCGAGUGGCGGACGGGUGAGUAAUGUAUGGGGAUCUGCCCGAUAGAGGGGGAUAACUACUGGAAACGGUGGCUAAUACCGCAUACUAUCGGAUGAACCCAAAUGGGAUUAGCUGGUAGGUGGGGUAAAGGCUCACCUAGGCGACGAUCCCUAGCUGGUCUGAGAGGAUGAUCAGCCACACUGGAACUGAGACACGGCCCAGACUCCUACGGGAGGCAGCAGUGGGGAAUAUUGCACAAUGGGCGCAAGCCUGAUGCAGCCAUGCCGCGUGUAUGAAGAAGGCCUUCGGGUUGUAAAGUACUUUUGUUAGGGAAGCGUUACCUAAAGAAUAAGCACCGGCUAACUACGUGCCAGCAGCCGCGGUAAUAC